GCUGCCGGCUCCAGUGAGUUCCCUUGACAGCUGCAGAAGGAGAGGCCUCCCCGGAGCCCACCUCCCCGCACCAAGGACGGCUUCUUCUAGCUCCAGGUUCCGCGAGCACCCGACUCCGCGGUGCAGGCUGCCAGAACGCUGCUCCAGCUCCUGCCCUAUAGCCGCAAAGGCGCGCCCCUGAACAGCUUUCCUGGCACUCCGGAGGGACUGCCAGACGUCCUGCCAGCUCUUCUCCGCCAUUUGGUGAGCUGUAGCUAGGCUCUCUCCAAGCAAGUUGGACCUCAGCCCUGGGGCUACUGCUCCUGCAGCGAUUCUGACACCAGCUGUGUGACACCAGAUCCUGACACCCAGCAAUUCUGUGACAUCAGCUGGGUAUCCCACAGUAACUCACUCUGGCACCAUCCACCUGGAGACGGCAUCAGAUCCACAGGUAGAGGGCUUCAUCCUGCAAGACCCCCCACACUUCAGAUGCCAACCGCGAGUCCAAACUGGUAUCUGUGCUUCUGACCAAUUGGCUAUGAAUAUGAAUUGGGGUUCCCAUGACCCUCCCUCAGGUGCAAUUAACUUGUUAGAGUGGCUCACAGAACUCAGAAAAAGAGUUCACGGACUGUUUACCAACUUAUUAUAAAAGGAUAUGACAAAAGCUACAGGUAAGCCUCCAGAUGAAAGAGAUGUCUGGACCAAGGUAUAGGAACGGACACGGGGAUUCCAUGUCUCUCCAGGUCACCAAUCCACCAGCACCACCAUGUGCUCACCAACCCAGGAGCUCUUUGAACCCAGGGAAAUAAUGAGGACCCACCAAAUGAGAACAAGAAAAGGCUAUAUUUGUUCAGAGCCUGCAAUAGUGAGGGAGUCACUCCAUCACCUGGCCUGGUAGAGGCCCAGAGGCAGCAAGAGAGGGGGAGAGCUUCAUGGUGGAAAAGGGGGACUCAGGGGUGCCCUGAUGGGGGCUGUGGGCCUGAGGGAGCCAGAGAUGAACUCUAGAGAAGUGGGGCAUCUCCUGUGUUCGAUUUUCUCUGGUUGGUCCUGAGUUGGACCCGGGAACAAAAAUUAGGUAAGAUAUCAUUUAUUGACCGAGUCCUGGCCAUCUGGCUUAUUUGGACUGUCACAGGGUAUUGUAUGGCUUUCUGGGUUGUCACCAGAGCCAGCAGUCUGAAUUGCCCCAAGUCUGACUUCGAGCAGCCGACUUCCUGGGCAGGCUUCUGCAGAGGAGGCAUUGGUUUUGGGUGGGCUGCUGCAGGCCGUGGGCCUAUUUUCAUAAAUGGUCUGGCCACUGGCCACUUGUAUAUUCAGUUUAUUAUAAUAGGCACUGAUGAGCCAGUACAGUGUUAACAGAAAACAUUUCUCCCAAGGUCACAACUCAGCUGUGAAGUGUCCUGACAGCCUCUUCCUUCUUACCGGUAACUUCCAUAGCCUGCUCUGUGGCCCUACCUCAUGAACAAAAAUACCUAAGACCCAGUUACUAAGUGGUCCACACUUCGUGACAGCAACCAUCUGAAGAUGGCCCUCACUUCCCCUCUCCCCUCCUCAGAAUUAUUCAGUGCAACCCCAAACCUUACAAAAUUCUCUCUCCAGUCUCCUCAUGAGACACAACGCAGAAAUCUCUAGGGUUCUCUCUUUGCAACAGGUUAAUAAACCAGACCUGGUCUAUUAGGUUUAUCCCUAGUGGACUUGACUGUUGGGCAUUUUCACCCAGCUCAAGUAUCUUCUCCUCCACUCAAUCUUUGGAUGCAGUUUUUCCCUCCUCCAGCCCCAGAAUACUUUGUGUGUCCUGAUGCUAGAGUUAAUUAGCUAGAGUUAAUGUUAGGACACUUCCUCUACUAGACUGUAAGGCCCUUUAGAGACUGUGCGGGAUUCCUCUUUGUGUCCGAGUUCUAAUGAGACAAAUGAUGUGCACCUGGCCAGACAAAGAUGGACACAGUCUCCCCUGGCUAAGCUCUCGAGUGUUCAAGAAAGCCCUGAACAAGUGAAGAUUUAUCUUCAACUGGCCCUCUCAAAGACAGUUUUCAAUGGACUCAUGUCUUGGCUAGAUUCCAGCUAAUUGGUGUAGGUUUUGUUUGUUUGAAGUUUAUUUAUUUUGACAAAGAGAAAGAGGGAGCGUGUGCACACACACACACGCACACACACGCACACACGGCACUUGAGCAGGGGAGAAGCAGAGAGAGAGAGGGAGAGCGAUAAUCCCAAGCAGGCUCUGCACUGUCAGUGCAGAGCCCGACUGGGGGCUCAAACUCAUGAACUGUGAGAUUGUGACCUGAGUCAAAACCAAGAGUCGGAUGCUCAACAGAGAGAGCCACCCAGGUGCCCCCCCCUUUUUUUUAAGUGAAUCUUUUCACUGUUCCGAAGGCUGACUUCAGUGUUUUCUUUGUCCUCUCCCCCAUCCAGGAUCUCCCUCAUGAGACUAAAGAGCACAUAACUAACGAGAGGUCUCCAAGUUGUCCUUGGACACAUGCACCUCAUACCAUGCUGUGCCCAUGACAAAUCCAGUGGGUUGAUUUACUCAGCAAAGAAAAGAAUUUCAACUCACUUCAAGUGAAUUCUCUUUGUAGUUUCAAGUUUCCAGGCCUGUAAAUGAUAAAGGACCAAACCAGCUCUAGAUUGUGACAGUCCCUGUGAGUACAGCCACCCUGUGUGGCCUCCUGUGGAAGAGACCCCACCAGCUCCCCCUUGACAUUUCCUUGGCUGUAACUCCUUAUGUAUUCUUCCAGAGCCAAAUUGGUAAUAUUCUUUUCCAGGCAUAUAUCCCAGUUGGCUUGGAAGAAUAGUGGAGUUAUUCUUUGGAGAUGUGGAUUUGAAGAAAGUUCUUUUCGAUAGUCUGUUAAGUCGUUAAAAUGCUGCUGAGAGGUCUGUCUCCCUUUGUCCCUGUCUCAUGCACCCUCCCUGUACAACUCAAGUGAGCUUUGGUUCUAUGAUAUUUAAUGUUUUGGCACCCUUUUUGUUUUAGGUGUAUUUAUUUAUUGGGGGGGGGGGGG